AGGGUAACGGCCUACCAAGGCUGCGAUGGGUAGCCGGCCUGAGAGGGUGAUCGGCCACACUGGAACUGCGACACGGUCCAGACUCCUACGGGAGGCAGCAGUGGGGAAUUUUGCGCAAUGGGCGAAAGCCUGACGCAGCGACGCCGCGUGGAGGAAUAAGGCCUUCGGGUUGUAAACUCCUGUCAGAGGUGAAGAAUGUCCUAUGGACUUGACGGUAACCUCAGAGGAAGCCCCGGCUAACUACGUGCCAGCAGCCGCGGUAAUACGUAGGGGGCAAACGUUGCUCGGAAUUACUGGGCGUAAAGGGUGUGUAGGUGGCAGAGCAAGUCAAGGAUGAAAUCCCGAGGCUUAACUUCGGAACUGU
rnacentral:rRNA from 1 species